AACGAACGCUGGCGGCAGGCCUAACACAUGCAAGUCGAACGGGAUCUUCGGAUCUAGUGGCGGACGGGUGAGUAACGCGUGGGAACGUGCCCUUUGGUUCGGAAUAGCCCCGGGAAACUGGGAGUAAUACCGGAUAAGCCCUACGGGGGAAAGAUUUAUCGCCAAAGGAUCGGCCCGCGUUGGAUUAGGUAGUUGGGGAGGUAAUGGCUCACCAAGCCGACGAUCCAUAGCUGGUUUGAGAGGAUGAUCAGCCACACUGGGACUGAGACACGGCCCAGACUCCUACGGGCGGCAGCAGUGGGGAAUCUUAGACAAUGGGGGAAACCCUGAUCUAGCCAUGCCGCGUGAUCGAUGAAGGCCUUAGGGUUGUAAAGAUCUUUCAGUGGGGAAGAUAAUGACUGUACCCACAGAAGAAGCCCCGGCUAACUCCGUGCCAGCCGCCGCCGUAACAC
rnacentral:rRNA from 1 species